CCUACGGGCGGCAGCAGUGGGGAAUAUUGGGCAAUGGGCGCAAGCCUGACCCAGCAACGCCGCGUGAAGGAAGAAGGCUUUCGGGUUGUAAACUUCUUUUUUCAGGGACGAAGCAAGUGACGGUACCUGAGGAAUAAGUCACGGCUAACUACGUGCCAGCAGCCGCGGUAAUACGGAGGCGGCAAGCGUUAUCCGGAUUUACUGGGUGUAAAGGGCGUGUAGGCGGGGAGGUAAGUCAGAUGUGAAAACCCCGGGCUCAACCUGUGGCCUGCAGUUGAAACUGUGUUUCUUGAGUACUGGAGAGGCAGACGGAAUUCCUGGUGUAGCGGUGAAAUGCGUAGAUAUUAGGAAGAACACCGGUGGCGAAGGCGGUCUGCUGGACAGCAACUGACGCUGAGGCGCGAAAGCGUGGGGAGCAAACAGGAUUAGAUACCCGAGUAGUC
rnacentral:rRNA from 1 species